rnacentral:misc_RNA from 1 species
AGAAUUCUGCUUGAACUACUUGGGUGUGCGCAGCCAGUUUAAUAUUCUAAAUGCCAUCUAUAUUCUGAUGAUCCCUGAUGCAUAUUGGGUGAAAAAAAUGGAUACUCGAUUUAUGCAAAAAAAUGGGAAGUUCAAUUCUCUAGGUGUUCAUCAGUUUGUGUCUGCUGCUCAGAGUUAUUGGUCUGCAGAAUUACUUUCUGUUGGUCUUGAUGUGUUAAUCAAACUUGAAGCUCUUUAUAUCCUCUCAGUUAAGAAUUCCUUCUCUUUCUUCUGCCAGAGCAGGGCUCUUAAUCAUAUCUAUGAAAUAGCGAAAUUUCUUUUCAAUUCCGAGUUUCUGGACCGCAGACACUCCGACAACAAGGCACUGCUUAAAUUCAUUGGCUUGUCAUAUGAACACUUGUUUGGCUGCAUUUAUCCUCUGGACUGGAAAGAAUCAUUGAAAAAGAAUAUGAUUUCUAUGAGGAGAACUAAAAGUUUUAGAAAUUUAAUUAAGGAAGUUGCUUCUGAAGCUGUUAGUGUGAAUAACAAGCUGUCUUAUGGGCAGCUUGGAAGGAUAUCAUUGGCAAUUCUUGGUUCUGGUAAGCCGUGUGAUGAGUUAUAUAAGAAGAUUGUAGAUGGUUUAAGAUGGAAUGCAUCAUGGAUGGCUUUAAUGGAGGAUCUCUGUUUGAACUCAGGGUUCAGAGUCUUACCAGACAAUAACACUGAAAUACCCUUGCAUCAGCUGCCUUUGAAGUUGAAGUUACAUGGAGCUUUGGUAGAUACAUAUAAUGCCAACUGGAGGAAAGAGAAUGACUAUAUCUCACCCGGAGAUUUCCUAUACCUUGUUGAGCGCCAACUGA